rnacentral:rRNA from 1 species
UACGAAGGGGGCUAGCGUUGCUCGGAAUCACUGGGCGUAAAGCGCACGUAGGCGGCUUUUUAAGUCAGGGGUGAAAUCCUGGAGCUCAACUCCAGAACUGCCUUUGAUACUGGGAAGCUCGAGUCCGGGAGAGGUGAGUGGAACUCCGAGUGUAGAGGUGAAAUUCGUAGAUAUUCGGAAGAACACCAGUGGCGAAGGCGGCUCACUGGCCCGGUACUGACGCUGAGGUGCGAAAGCGUGGGGAGCAAACGGG